rfam:Gonium pectorale scaffold00007, whole genome shotgun sequence.
CGGCAAUGAUGAGCAACUUGUUUAUCCGCGCUGCUGAUCUUGCAGAUGAGGAGAAUGAACAACUAAUGGUUGAAUUUCUUGAUCCGAGCCG